rnacentral:lncRNA from 1 species
AGGGGACUCUGAGAAUAUAUUUUUUUAAAUCCUAUUUUUAUAAAGGUAGUUUUCCCCAUCAACCAAGAUAUCUACACCUAAUAAAGGUUUAGAUGAUGGUGAGGAGCCAUAUGAAAUGUUUCAGAUGUGGAGGCUGUAGGGUGAGAAAGUGCAUGGCUGGAGGUAGCCUGGGGGGGCAUUAAUGGAACUUAAGAGCCGUUAUUGCUGUCCUGGGACUAGAGUUCAGAGAGCAGAUUGGUCUGUUGGGAGCAUAUUCUCCUGCUUCUGUUACAGCCUGAGUUCACAUUUCCCUGCUUGUGUUCAUUCUCAUGCUUGACUAAGGCACACCCAUUAAUUUGUAUUGUCAAGGCAGAGAGGCAGGUCAGAGGUGCCGUUUGAAUACCUAGAUAAGCAGAUGAAGUCAGUGUGUGAAUAGCAUACCACCAUAGUGAUGCAUGCUAUGCUUACAGGUUCACUCAGCACAGGGCUGCUGGAAGGUAUCACUUGGACACAUGAAACAGUGUGGCUCCGAAUUCUGCUUUUCCUCUUGCACUUAGGAACCUGAAGAAAAACAGCUUUGGGAGAUCCAGGGAGGAUCGAACCUGCAUCCUUGUGGAUGCUAGUCGGAUUCGUUUCCCCUGAGCUGCAACAGGAACUCCAACAUUAAGUACUUUGGGAUAGUGCAAGGAUUUAUUUUAAACUAAACUAAAAAUCAGAUCACAUUUCUCAAGAAGAAAGGCAAUCGCUCACCGGAGCAACCAGUAUGAAGUAUGAAUCAUACUCCAGAAGGCUCUUUCCUUUGCAGGGUUUAAUCCAACACCCUGGUGGGUUAGUACUGUCUACCUCUAGUCCACAUUCCUUGUAGGAAGUACAGUCAAUUCUCAUUACUUGACUAGUUACAUGCUUUAAAGUCACUGGGAAAACUGAAUUAGCACAUUCGGAAUCAUUCCUCCUAGAGGAAGUAUGGGGCUAGGUUCCUGCAAGCCUCUCAUCACAACAUUUUUGUCAGCCAAUCAACACACAACCUUGUUUUAGGUGUUUCUGUUUAAAGACACCUUAUUUAAUAUUUAGUUGAUUCAUUAACAUUGAACUCACAGCCAACAGCACAACUCAUGCCUGAAUGAAGCUUAUUUAACCCAUGGAUUUCUCUGGAAGACACCGCACAGCCUUGUACUUGGGAACACUAGACAGUGUUUCAGCAGUGGGGGCCAUUUUAAACAGUGAAAUCACCAAUAAAAAGCGCACACGCACGCACACACACACACACACACACACACACACACACACACACACACAGACACUAAGUGGACUGAAAAAAGGCCACUUGUUCACAGUGUGAGAGUUGAAACAAGAAGGUAGAACAUUGCCUUGUUUGACCUUGGCGUGGAACGAUCAGGCAACUCAAAUUAUUCACCACCCUGUGAAUGACCAUGAAGGACCAUGAACACACUGGGUAUUUAGAUUGUGGGGUGAGAAAUAAUUUGAAUGAGUAGGUGAAUUUGCAAUAAUGAGGAUCAACUGCAUUUCAUUGUAGGAGGCGACAUCCGAAGUUCAAGUGUUCCAACUGCCCUGGAUAACCUUAAUUUAUCAUGGCAGCCCUCACUGAUGCUUAGCAGUGAAAAUGCUUUUUCACAGAACUCUGAGAGGGCAAGUCUCUUCAUACGGAGCACUUGUCGUUUCGGAUUGACAUCACAAAACAUGCCUUGAAAGCUAGAGAGAGAAAAUUUUAUUGAAGGAGAUCAUAAUUAAGGGGGGAAAAUGUAGUUUCCUAAGGGGAAAUCCAGAAACAACGGGGGAAAGAAGGAUGGAUAAUUGAAAACACACAGGCACACAUACACACACACACAGACAGCACACACAUACACUGAAUCCUUUGCCACUGCAUUUAUGAAUGUGGAAGGGGACUGAAUUGUGUUUGCUAGGAUGAGUAAUGCUUAUUUGAAGACUUCUACUGGGCAGUUAAUAAGGAUAUUAGCCAUUGGGUAUUGAGCACCUGUCCUGGGCCUAAGAAGGACGUUGUGAACAUUGAUCCAUUAACCCUUCAUUUUACAAAAUAAAGCUUUGUGAUGGGGCCUGUUUUGCAGCUGAGGAACCUCAGGAUAAGUAACUUGUAAAUGGUCCUACAGCCUGUCAUCAGCAGAGAUGGGCCUCACAGCCAGGCAGGCUGGGUCCACCCACUAGGCUGUACCCGGUCUCCCACUUUGGCUUAUGACCUCAGCACUCACUAGGAAAAUAACAAGAAAUCAUUUCCAAAGACAUUAUUUUAAAGGGAGAGGGAUGGAUGAGAGGGUGGGCUUCAUUUUGUUAAGGAAGGCCCAGAUCAAUGAAAAUACAGUGGGUGAAAUAGCAGUUUUUGAAAAAAUUCUGACCGUCUCUUGAAUUGGGCUCAUUCCAAUAAUUUACAGAAACAUAAAAAUCACAUAACAAGCUAAAAAUACAGCUAGAAAAUGCUGAACCACUCUUCAAGAGUUUUAGUUUUUUUCUUUGAGUAAUCUCUUCUAUGUUUGUUUAUAUUCUGGACUCCAGUCAUAUAGUGAUGUGAAGGCAAAAUUUCUACUAAAGCAUUAAUCCUAAUAAUAAGCAUUCUGUAACUAGACCUUCCAAUUGGAAUCAAGUACUAAAUCUAGAUUUUGUACCAAAAAUACAAGAAAGAACUUCUUUAAUUGGCCUGAUAUUUGUCAGCACCUAAAGACUCAAAAAAAUUUUAUACAAACCAUUAAAAUAGCCUUAAAUGUUGAGGUAGUCAUUCUUGUCUUCUGCUUCUAAGAAAAUAAAAAAAUAUAUAUAUUUUUAACAAUAAUGUUCAUGAGCUUCUUAUGUUAAGAAUCUGGCAUUGUCAUUGCUGUGGCACGAAUUCAAUCCCUGGCCCAGGAACUUCCACAUGCUGCAGGUGUGGCCAAAAUAAAAAAAUACUCUGAUGGAAAAGCCCUUUACUUGCUCUUCCUCCCCUGCUACCCCCCCCAAAAAAAACCUCCAGAAAAACCUUUAGUAGACAUUUGUAUACCCCCUUUUUUUUUUUCUUUUUCUUUUUGCCAUUUCUUGGGCCGCUCCCGUGGCAUAUGGAGGUUCCCAGGCUAGGGGUCGAAUCAGAGCUGUAGCCACCGGCCUACGCCAGAGCCACAGCAACGCGGGAUCUGAGCCGCGUCUGUGACCUACACCACAGCUCACAGCAACGCCAGAUCCUUAACCCACUGAGCAAGGCCAGUCAUUGAACCCACAACCUCCUGGUUCCUAGUCGGAUUCAUUAACCACUGAGCCAUGACGGGAACUCCUGUAUACCCAUUAAAAUUACAUUACUGAAGAAUAUAUCUUGACAGCAAAUAUACAUCAUAUAUUGCUAUGGGGGAAAAAAAUACCUGCCUACAAAACAAUCUGGCUAAUUUGUGUAACACACACAUUGUACACACAAUAUUCAGUUUGUACCCAGUUUUAACUACAUGUACCAAAAUUCAAGUUACGAUUAUCUUUUGAAGAUGAGAUUAAGUUUUUACUCCAGGAAACCAAGUGUGUCUCAGUGCACCUAGUAUUUUGCUAGUGGAGAGACUUCCAGAUGGUUGGGUCUUCAGCAGCUGUGCACAUCCAGGCUGAUCAGUCUGUUCUUAGGUCAGACUGGCUGGUAAUUACUGACAGAUUGGAGUGUGCCUGAUAUGCAGGAGAUAGGAGAAAGCAGAGAAGAAGGCAGACAGACCCUCUGUAAACAUCUCAGUCACAAUUACACUCCAUUCAGGAAGACAACUGUCCAUGUGAAUUGCACGUAAGUGCCAUAGAGCAGAGCAAAUAUUCAAGUGCUGGGAUAUAGCAAUUACGGUAAAUGAGAGAGGAAAAAUCCCUAUAGUGGGAUAUUUAGAAAGACUCCAUUAAGAGAAGGGACCUUGUGAGCUUUUGUUAUAUUUGGACUGAUAAAAAGGAGAACCAGGAGUUUACUUUUAAGGUGGUAGCAAGAGAAAAACUGCCUGUGCUCUGAUACAUCAGCCUUGACUAUGGGACUGUGUACAGAGGGCUGAGGUUAAGAGGCAGUGUUGUUUAGCUGCUUUCUGUGAGCCAGGGAAAAAUGAGAAAUGAAAGAAUUGAAGAGAAUUCUUAUUUUCUGAAAAGAGCAUCUAGUUACUGCUCAGGAGAGUUAGACAGUUUUUCUGGAGAUAAGUUAAGGACAAACCAAGGUCCCAGACCCAAGACCUAGGGCAGUCUUUGGAGGAAAGUCAAAGAAUGUUGCAGUUCCAGCGCCAAAUUCACAGGAGCCAAACCACUUCCUAAUCUCACUGGACAGCAGGCUAGAAUUCACAGUCCCCAGGGGAACUGAUAAUGCUGACAAUAUCUUGGAGAUCAGCUCUGGGCCAGGCUACCUUGAUAAGCUGUCCCACUGGUUGAUAACUUGUUUGGAAGAUAGAGAAGCCUAAUUGGUCUUCUUGCUUAGAGAAGAACACCCCACCUUUCCACCUCCCCUGGCACGGGCCAGAGGGUGCAGGUAGAUGAUGUAGGAUUGAUUGUCCUUGGAAAUUCAUCUUGGAUUCUCUCCAGUGCAUGGAUAAAUGUUUGAUUUUUCAAAGCAGCAGUUACCUGGCAACCUCCACAUACCUCAUUUCACAAAUCCCCCUGAUAAUCCUGUCAGGAAUACAUUAUAUAAUUGUUAUUUUAUAGUUGAGGAAACUGAGUCUCAAAGAGGUGAUUCACUCACCUCUGCCCCACAGCAAAUUCUGGGGUUAGAAUUUGAGCAAAUCUGGCUGGGACUCCUGCUCUUCCCCACCCACCACAGCCCCACAUGUUGAGGAGAACAGCUAAAGCGUGGUUCUUCCAUGUCUCUGUGAGCUGGGCAAGCCGAGCUCAUUCUUACCCACUCUGUUUCUUGCAGGGCUAUUAAAAUGCAGGAUCUGAUAAGCAUUAGUAGCUGAGAGGAGACUCAGCCCUGCCUGACUGAGGGUACUUGGCGUACAGGCACAUUCCUUGAAGACUUGCAAUGUUUCUGCUUUUAGCAGGGGUGAAUUUCCUUUCUUAAGAUGAAAACUCCACAACAAUGAAUGUUUAACCACUGCAGUGAAUUGCAAUGAUAGAGAAACAUAAGCUCAGAAUCUAGAUUUACAUACCAUGUUAAUAAUAUAUUUUAAGGUGCUCAUAACAUAAUGCAUGCUAUAGCAAAGUCUGCUCUUUACUGAACUUCAGCACCAUACCAGACAUUAUCUAAUUAGAUCCUCACAACUCUGAAAAGCAGUUCAUGUGAUAUUCAUUUGAGACAGGAGGCUAAAAGAG